UAAGGAGUAAACUAAAAAAGUUGUUAGGCUCAUACCCUAAAAAUGAAAUUAAUUUUUCCUCCUUAG
rnacentral:tRNA from 1 species